rnacentral:lncRNA from 1 species
UUGUUUGAAUGUUCAGGGGCUGGAAGCCCACCACAGUAGGAAAUAUAUGAUUCAAUCUAUAAAUUAAAGAAUCAAUAAAUAAGGAAGAAUUCACAACUUAGAGAAUGUCUAAGUAAUUAAUUGAAGACAAUGAUAUGAAUGGAGUAAACUUGCUACAGUUUUUCAUUCUUAAAGUUACUAAGGCAUUCAAAAAUACAUCUUCAAAGCAUGUACCAUUUGAUUAAAUAACAGUUAAUUUUAUAUAUAU